UUCAAUGUUUUUAGGAAAAUUAAUUCGCAUCUAAAAUAAUUUUUGCACUCCAAAAUUAUAAAAGUAGGAGUGCGACAUUCAACACUAAUAUAUUAUUUGAUUUAUCCACUCCUAUUUGCGAGUGCAAAAAUCAAUGUAGAGUGUUAGAAAUCAUGUUUCUUUUGUUAUAGAGGACAUAAUCACUCAUACUUUAUAUUAGAAAAGUUUCGAUUCGAAAAAAAACGAUUAGGAUGGCCGUCAAGUCAUACAUUAUAGGACAAUGAAUUCUCAUAGAUGCCACCGAAUGUGAUCGACAGGUGUUCCAAAAUUUAUCGCUACCUUUCGGGUUAAAAUUAUAAAUUCAAUAGAUAUGAAAUCAGUAACGAUUAGAUCAAACAUUUAGUAAUCGAGUCUCCUCUGCGUCAAUACCGAACCCAGUAAAUUUCUUUCAUUAUGUAACAAUGACAUGCAUGAUAAGAUGUGGGACUAGUAGAAACAAGAGUCCAAGUCAAUAUAAAUAGUAGACAUAACUUUUUUUUAAAAACCUUAGAAUGAGAAUUUGCCUAGCUUUUCUUCAUAGCGUAUGACGCUAGGAUAGGGAACGAAAUGCUCAAAGUCAAAAUCAGUUUUCAUGCUCUCGGGACUAUCGAAUUGCUAAAUAGAGCGUCAAACGAUAGCAACAAAAUUCUCUUGACCGUUCGAAUGAUAGAAUUAGCGUUUGAAUGCUACCGCCUGUAACCAAUUUCAGGGCUUUUAUGCAUUCGAACGUGGGUUUUGAAUGCUAAAGCCAAAUUCUUUCUUAGUGUUCGAAUGCUAAGCAUAGCAUUCAAAACGGUAACAGCAGAAGAAAAAAUAAAAAUUAAAAAGAGACCACACGAUUUAAACUAGGAUAGCCCAUGGGAUAAUUCCCAUGUGUCUCAGCUAUAACACACAUAACCACAUCCAACCCAACACACACACGCUAAUAAAGAGAGAGAGAAAGAGAAAUGGAAGAAAGGAAGAAUAAGGAGAAGAAGAGGAAGGCGGAGAAGAGAAGAGAGAGAGAGCUUAAGAGAGCUCAUUCAGGCUAAAAGAAAUAUGGUGGAAGCUUGGGAAGCUUGGGAAAGAGGUAAAGUUACUAAACCUUGUAGGUGUUGAAGAUGUACAUGUAUAUAUGAGAUAUGUGUUGGUAGGAGGGAGUCUCAUGAGGGUAAGUUUCAUACAUUAGAAGUAUAAAUCAAGUAGAUUGAGGUGGGUUAAAAAAAAAAACCCCAACUUUAAAGUGUUGGGUUUUAAGUUGAUUUAAUUUUAGCUCUACUAUGUUAGGGUUACAAUUGAGGGUUUAUUUUAAGUUAUUAAGGUUUCCUUGAUUGUUUCUUCAUACCCUAGAGUCUUACAAAGAUUUGAGUUUGGUUUUGAGAAGUUUUGAAAAAAAAACAUUUGGUACAGUCCAAUUACUGUUUCUAUUGCUGAAUGCAAUUAGCAUUCAAACAACAAACCCAAUGUUCGAACGUAAUUGUUCAGUACUUAGCAUCGAACGCGCAACCCAACGUUCGAACGACAAAUCUAUUUUUAGGCAAUUUUAAAAAACCUUUUUUUCUUUAAAAUAUAUAAAUGUUAUCCCAAAAUAUGAUAUGUAUGGCAACACAAUCAUCCAGGUAUUUUUGUUCAUUGGGCAUUGUUGUUGAUUCACAAAGCUUUUAGCUUAUGUUUUCAAUUCAUUUUAUGAACCAAUCAGAUGAGCCAUGGAAGAAGAAAUCAAGUAAGAUGUAGUUGUGACCCACAAGCUUACGUGUUUUGGUUUGGCAGAGGAGACCAUACGUUUAUGUAAUUAUAUUUCCCAUGUGAUGUACGUAUAAUCAAGUUAGCCAUGACAUGUAUGUAAACAGUUAAACAUAGGCACAACUCUAUAUACUAUGUGUGUACGUCACACCUUACUAAUUUUAGAUAUUAUGACGUUUUUGCAAAAAAUUUAUAUCAUUUUAAAUGAUUAUCACAGGGUGAUCAACCAGAGUAAAGUAAGUAGGCCUUGGUGGGCUAGCCACCGGCCAGUCACCGAAGCCCCAAUCCGCAUGACAAGGAUUUUUUUUUGGCGGGGCGUGACAAUUUUGAACCAACCUAGUAUCUAUAGGAUAAUGUACGAUACCAUGAGCGCAACACAAUUAAUGUGAUCGCAUUGUUCACUUUGUUUGUCUUGCUAUUUAAUUACUCUCGCCAAAUUUGAAGUCUAUCAGAGUUUGAAAACCCUUUCAUCCAGACAUUACUCAUUUAUAAUUAUUCAUUAUGAAUCGACAAUUUUAUCUCUUCGAAAACUACGUCAACAAUAAAUUAAAUUUAUUUAUUUUUUAAUAGAGAAAUUAUAAUCCUUAUAUUUCAAAUCUAACGAUUUAAGUCAAAAAAAAACUAUUAUGAUGGCUGUCAAGUCAUGCAUAUAGGACAUAAUUGCUCUAAUGGCAUCGAAUGUAUUCGACAGAUGGUUCCAACAUUUUUUGCCACUAUUUUUUUGGUAAAAUUAUAAAAUUGAUAACAUAUAAAAUCAUAAUGGUUUUAGAUCGAACAUUAAAUAAUCGAGUCUGUUCCCCUGCCUUUCAUCCUAUCCUUGACUUGCUCAUCGGUUUUGACCCAACACCUAUUAGGUGCUACAGGAUAAUGUACAAUAGCCUAAACGCGCGCAACACCAUAUUAGGUCAUCCCCACUUUUAUUUUUCCAAUGGUUGUCCUGCUAUUUUAUUUCACUCUCAACCAAAUUUCAAGUAUAUCAAGUAUUGAAGCCUGUCCGACAUCUACUAGGACAUUGAUCAUUUAAUUCAUUAUGAUCGACAUUUGUCUCCUUCCGAUCAAAUAGGUAACGAUAAUUACAUUUUUUUUUUCAUAGAGAAUCUAAUCACUUCCCUACUUCAAAUCUAAAUAGUUCCGUUUUUGAAAAUCUAUUAUGAUGGCCGUCAAUUAUGUCAUUACAAUACAAUUGCUAAUAGAUACAUAUCAUUGAUCCGUUAGGUGGUUGUCGACAUUGUUCGCGUACUAUUUUUGGUUAAAGUUAUAAAUUGAUAAGAUCUGAAUCAUAACGUUCAGAAUCAACUAUUUAGUCAAUCGAGUCUGGACCGGCCUUUCAUCAAACCUAUACAACAUCAACUUAGUAACUAUGGUACAAUGUAAGAUAGGAUAAUGUAAGAUAGCCAAAUAAGCGCAAACACAAUUAUGUUGAUCGCCACCAUUCACUUUGUUUGUCUUGAUAAUUUAAUCAUUCUCUCCAAAUUUAAAGCCUACCGAGUAUUAAAAGCCCUUUUAUUCAGAAAAUUGAUUCAUUUAUUCAUUAUGAACCGACAAUUUGUCUCAUUCGACCCUAUACGUAACGAUAGUACAUAUUUUUUUAAUUUUUUUUUUCAACAGAGGGAUAUAAUCCCUCUCUACUACUUCAAAUCUAAACGGUUCUGUUUCAAAAAAACUUGUAUGAUGCCGUCCAAGUCAUGCCUUAUAAGACAUUAUUGCUCAUAAUGCCAACACCGAAUAAUGGUGAAUCCGAUCUUGUGGUCACCAACUUUUUCCCGCUGUUUUUUGGAUACAUUAUAAAAUUGAUAAGAUCAUGUAUGGAAAUAUAACAAUUUGAUCAAACAUUCAGUACAUCGGAGGUUUGCACUGCCUUCCAAUCCUAUCCAUAGAAACUUACUUGGUUCUGAACCCAACCGAGUAUGCUAUAGGAUUAAUAUACGAUGACAACGGACACAACACAAUUAUGUUGAUCGCCACCGUUCACUUUCUUUGUCAUGGUUAAUUCAAUAACUCUUUCCAAAAAUUGAAGUCAAUCGAGUAUUGAAAGCCUUUUCAUACAGCACAUUGAUUCAUUUAUUCAUUAUGAUCCGAUAAUAUAUCUCCUUCGAUCAAGUACGUAACAAUAAUUAUAUUUAUUCAUUUUUUUCAUAGAGGAUAUAAUCACUCCAACUUCAAAUCUAAACGGAUCCAAUUCGAAAAAAACUGUUAUGAUGGUGUUACAUUGUUUUAUUACGUCAUGCGUAUAGGACAUUAUUGUUCAUAGAUACACCGAAUGUAAUUCGAUCAGGUGGUUACCUACAUUUGUUUCUCAUUAUUUUUGAAAAAAAUUAUAAAAUUGGUAAGAUAUGAAAUCAUAACGAUUUAGAUCAAACAUUCAGUAAAUCGAGUUUGCACCUGCCUUUCAAUCCUAUACAUAGAACUUACUUGUUUCUGAACCAAUCUUGUAUGUUAUAGGAUAAUGUAAAAUAGCUAAACGAACGCAACACAAUAAUAUUGAUCAGCAUCGUUCACUUUCUUUGUCUUGCUAAUUUAAUCACUCUCGCCAAACUUGAAGUCUAUCUGGUAUUGAAAGCCAUUUCAUCCAAGACAUUGAUUCAUUAUGAACCGAUAAUUUAUCUCCUUAGAUUAAGUAUAUAAUGAUAAUUAUAUUUAUUCAUUUUUUUCAUAAAGAACAUAAUCACUCCUACUUCAAAUCAAAACGGUUCCGAUUUGAAAAAUUUGUUAUGAUGGCUGUCAAGUCAUGUACUAUAGGACAUCAUUGUUCAUAGAUACACCGAAUGUAAUUCGAUCAGGUGGUUACCCACAUUUGUUUCCCAUUAUUUUUGGAAAAAAUUAUAAAAUUGAUAAGAUAUGAAAUCAUAACGAUUAUAGGAUAAUGUAAAAUCCCAUUAUUUUUGCACAUGCCUUUCAAUCCUAUACAUAGAACUUACUUGUUUCUGAACCAACCUUGUAUGUUAUAGGAUAAUGUAAAAUAGCUAAACGAACGUAACACAAUAAUAUUGAUCAGCACCGUUCACUUUCUUUGUCUUGCUAAUUUAAUCACUCUCGCCAAAUUUAAAGUCUAUCGGGUAUUGAAAGCCAUUUCAUCCAAGACCAAUUCAUUAUAAACCGAUAAUUUGUCUCCUUAGAUCAAGUACAUAAUGAUAAUUACAUUUAUUCAUUUUUUUCAUAAAGAACAUAAUCACUCCUACUUCAAAUCAAAAUUGUUCCGAUUCGAAAAAUUUGUUAUGAUGGCUAUCAAGUCAUGUACUAUAGGAUAUUAUUGCUCAUAGAUGCCCCGAAGGUGAUCUGAUCCGGUGGUUGCAGACAUUUUUUUGCCAUCAUUUUCGGGUAAAAUUAUAAAAUCGAUAAGAUACGAAAUCAUAACGAUUUAGAUCAAACAUUCAGUAAAUCGGUUUCCACAUACCUUCCAAUCCUAUACACAGAACAUACUCGGUUCUGAACCAACCUAGUAUGCUAUAGGAUAAUAUACGAUACCCAAACGGACGCAACACAAUUAUGUUGAUCACCACUAUUCACAUUAUUUGUUUUGUUAUUUAAAAUACCCUCGCCAAAUUUAAAGUCUAUCGAGCAUUGAAAAACCUUUCAUCUAGGACAUUGAUUCAUUUAUUCAUUAUAAAACAAUAAUUUGUCUCCUUUAAUCAAGUUUGUAAUGAUAAUUACAUUUAUUUAUUUUUUUCAUAGAGGAUAUAAUUAAUCCUAUUUCAAAUCUAAUGGUUCCAAUUCAAAAAAAACUAUUAUGAUGGCUGUUAAGUUAUGCAUUAUAGGACAUUAUUCCAAAUAGAUACACCGAAUGUGUCUGAUCUGGUGGUUGCCGACAUUUAUUCUCCACCAUUUUUGGAUAAAAUUAUAAAAUUGAUAAGAUAUGAAUUCAUAACAAUUUAGAUCAAACAUUUAGUAAAUCGAGUUUGCACCUGCCUUCCAAUCCUAUACAUAGAACUUAUUUGGUUCUAAACCAACCUAGUAUGCUAUAGGAUAAUAUACGAUAGCCAAACGGACGCAACACAAUUAUGUUGACUGCCACUAUUUAGAUUGUUUGUUUUUCUAUUUGAAAUAUCCUCGCCAAAUUUGAAGUCUAUCGAGUAUUGAAAACCCUUUCAUCCAGCACAUUGAUCCAUUUAUUCAUUAUGAACUGAUAAUAUGUCUCCUUCGACAAGUAGUAAAGUAACAAUAAUUAUAUUAUUCAAUUUGUUUCAUAGAAGAUAUAAUCAAUCCUAAUCAAAAUCUUAAACGGUUCCGAUUCGAAAAAAUAUAAGAUGGUUUUGUCAAUGCAUGCAUUACAGGACUUAUUGCUUAUAGAUGCACCUCAAUGUGAUACGAAUCUGGUGGUUGCUAGGCAUUUGUUCGCCAUUAUUUGGGGGUACAGGGUAGGUAAAAUUAUGUAAAAAUGGAUAAGAUAUUGUGUGUGAGUAUAACAAUUUAGAUCCAAACAUUCAGUAUGCUAUAGGAUAAUUAUACUGGUUUAGAACCAACCUAGUAUGCUAUCGAAUAAUAUACGAUAUGCAAACAGAUGCAACACAAUUAUGUUGAUCGUCACCAUUCACUUUUUUUGUCUUGCUAAUUUAAUCACUCUUGUCAAAUUUAAUGUCUAUCGAGUAUUGAAACCCUUUCAUCCAGGACAUUGAUUCAUUUAUUCAUUAUAAACCGAUAAUAUGUCUCAUUCAAUUAAGUACGUAACGAUAAUUACAUUUAUUCAUUUUUUUCAUAGAAGAUAUAAUCACUCCUACUUCAAAUCUAAACAGUUCUGAUUUGAAAAAAACUGUUAUGAUGCCGUCAAGUCAUGCAUUAUAGGACAUUAUUUGUCAUACCGCAAGCCUAAUUAUAAAUAAUUAAUGUUAAUUAAGUGGGAUGUGAUUGCAUAGGACACCAUGCCUGUGAACGACUCUUGUUAUUCAACACAUAGUCACUUGCAUAACGCUAACAUUAAUCAUACUCUGAAAAUUUAAAACCAAACGAAAACUAUAUAUACACCUGUUCACUACUAAUAUCAACCACCACCAUAAGAUAAACAUUUAUACAUGUCCUAAGAAAAAUAUAAACAAGCUCUUUAUAAGAACAUAAAACAUAUCACAACCAACUCAAAACUGACAAAACUAUAUAUAGGCAAAGAACUGUCCAAGUUCUGCUAUGAGAACCAACCACGUUAGGAAAAAUCUCAUGUCUUCGGAUCAUGAUACAGUGAACCAGCCAGCUAUCCCCAUAUCAUCACAGGUCAAAAAGUUAUUGUGUGGGUGUGAGCUAAUAAUCAAUUGUGCUCACAAUAGAUAAUCUACUCAUAUAAAAUAAUUAAAGGAACCUCGACGUCAUAAAAUCCAGCAAUAAAUAAUACCAUCAAUAAAUAAUGUCAAUGCAUAAUAAUCACCCACAUAUGCACGCAAAUUUAGAUAACGUUGGCCCAAUAUUUGAUGGCUCGUAUCAGGAUUGUCCCACGUUGACACCCUAUAGAUCAACACCCCACUCAGUUAAUCUUAGGGUUAGCCUCACAUCGGUAUAAUCUUUUCAUGCCAUGCAACAACAUACAACAUGCAACUGCCACUCAUUUAGACAUCAUCAACAAUAUUAAUCAAUAUUCACCUCGUGUAUUAUUAAGGAUUCAUAUUUUAUAACGGAAAUCAAUCAAUAUGAAAUAAUACUAGCUGUAUUUAAUCCCACCUAUCACUGUACACACACCGCAAGUAAAUCACGCCUGAGGUUGCCUUGAAGGCCCUUCUCUUUCCUUAACUCCUGUUCGUCACAAUUUAUCAGUGCACAAGUAUAAUGUAUACAAAUCAAGUCUAUAAAUUUAUAAUUCAUUUCAAUGGAUUCUCAUUAAAUGGUAAUAGUUACAUUCUAUUAUAAUUUCACAGCGAUCAGACAAUAUUUCAGCGUUGAUUGCCACUAAUGCGCUCAUUAUUACUAUUAUUUAUGACUUUAUGUAACACAUCAUUUGAACUUUAGAAUUAGACUAAACUGACCCUAUAAUCGGAUCCAAACACUUGAAACUAGAAACUAUCUUCACCCGAUCAAAAACUCAUUUAAUUGAUCAACUUUAAAUAGGAUCCAUAAUAACUUUAUAGGCCGACUACACUGAUAAUUUCCAGUUUGUGUAAAGCAUUAACAACAUCAGAAGCUUCGGCUCUCUGUUUGUUUAAAUUUCAAUUUCUCAGAGACGCAUAUACAUACAUAUAUUAAUAUACAAUCCUGAACUACCCUAUGUAAGAAUUCAAACUCUGCAUAAUAUCACUCAUUCGGUAUAUUCUCAGUUUUUCCAAAUUCAAUUAACUUAACAACAAGACCCAAUGUAUUUCAAAUCAAACUAUUUAUCAUAAAGAAAUCUAUUACUGAACUUUAGAACUCAACCGUUACCAUUUGAUUUUCUUUUUUUUUAUUCUUCUUUUCUCAUCUUUUUCUCUCUCUGCUUUCCCCUUUCUCUCUGUUUGUUUUCUGUCUUUUUUCUCUUCUUUGACACAGAAUGAUAAAUAGAUAUACACGCCCCUAGACUUAUAUAUAUAGUUAUAUGUGUAAUAUAUGUUAUCACGUGUUACAAGUCAACAGACGUGUGUCCAUGACUCACGCAAUUCUUGGACAAAUCACAUUUUUUCCUCCAACUUAACUAAAUUGUCAUUAUCUGAUUCUUAACUUAAAUGUUCUUUUAAUUUUAAUCCCAAAGUUUUUGAAUCUUUCACUUUGACCCCAAAUUAGUUAACAUGUUUACGUUUGAACUCAUAUUUUAAUAUUAACAUUUGUAUCCCCACACAUAUGAUGCACAUGACUCACACUCAUUAAACUACACUAAUUAAUAGAAUCACCAUAUAUAUAUGCAUGGAACUAAACUAAUUAUGAGAUUUCGGGUUUAGGGUCUCACAACUCUCCCCGCCUUAAAGAAUUUCGUCCCGAAAUUCCCAUAACUGGUGGUAGAAACAGAUAUGGAUACUGCCCCUGCAUAGACUCCUCAUUCUCCCAUGUAGCUUCCUUUAUUGUUUGGCUUCUCCAUAGAACUUUCACCAACAGUAUCACCUUGUUUCGAAGGACUUGCUCUCUCGAUCUAAGAUUUGAAAUCGGUUUCCUUCUACAUAGCUUAGUCAUCCCUAACUCCACUGGGUGUCGCACACACAUGUGAAGAUCCUCUUAUACUUCCUCACAUAGCUACAUGAAAGACAUUGUGUAUGUGUUAGACAUAUUGGUGGUAAUCUCCAAUCUAUAAGUUGUUGUGCCAACUCUCUCCAUUAUUGGGUGCAUUGGACCAUGUUUGUUGUGUUUGUUUGCAUGUUUCUGAUCAUUUACCUCUCCCCAAAUCCUCAAUACAACCUUUCCAUGGAAAACUUUCAAAAACACUUGAUCUCCCACCUCUAAUUCAAGCUUUCGUCGGCGAUUAUUCGCAUAACUCUUUUGUCUACCUGUGCAACCUUAAAUGCUCAUGGACUAUCUAAUCUUUUCUGUUGAAUCCUGAAUCAUCUUCUGGACCUAACAACUGUCUUUCACCUACUUUAGUGCCGCACAUGGAGUUCUACACGUUUUCAUACAUUACUUCAAAUGGUACCAACCAAUACUAGUCUAUAAUUGUUGUUAUAUGCAAACUCCAUCAAAGGCAUGGUAUUUAUUUCCAGUUUACCUUUAAAGAUAGUAUUACCAAGCCCUCAAAUAUACUCCAAGAUCUGAAUAGUUCUCUCAGAUUGUCCAUCUGUCUUGAGAAUGACGGCGUACUUAAAUUUCAAUGUUGAACCAUAGCAAGUUACCUCACUAGAAAAAAAUGAGCGUGAUUUAGUCAAUCUAUUCAACAAUCACCCAAAUAGGAAUCAAAGCCAGUUAGAAGCUUUGGAAAAUCCAACCACAAAAACUUAGGUAUAUACUACCAUUUCCAAUGCGGAUUAGAAGAGGUUACAACAAAAACCUGCGGGUUUCUGAUGUUCAGCUUUACUGUGACAAGGUUAAACAUCUUGCCAUAAAUUUGCAAAUGUUCCUCUUUAACCUGGCACAAUAAACUUCACGCAGAUCUCUAUACAUUUUUGUACUUCCGGAUGCAUCGCAUAUAUUGAUUGGUGGCUUCUCAGAAUUUUAUUCUUCAACUUUGACUCAUUGGGAAUACGAAACCGAUUUCCAAAUAUCAAGGUUCCAUCAUCAAGUAUUAGAGAACUCAGUGUUCAUCUUGUCACCACUUGUUGUCUAAUAUUCAUCAUUGACAUCUUGCAAUUGAAGUUCUCGAACUCGAUCAAGUAAUAAAGGCCCUCACUUGCAAAUGUCUACCAUAACACCAUCUUCUUUUGUGCAAUUCCACUCCACAAGUAUUCAUCUCUGCACAUAAUUCUUCCCUACAACACCUGAUACAAGCUAGCUUUCUAUAGACUUCUACACCCCUCAAAGCUCAACUAUCACAUUGGCUCGCCUGGAUGAUAAUAAAUCACACAUUCAUAGUCUUUGAUCAGUUUCAUCCAUCUCCUCUUUCUUCUUCAAUCUCGUGUGUAAACAAGUACUUCCAGUUUUUGUGAUCAGGAAACACUUCAAAGGAUUCUCCCUAAAAUAUGCCGCCAUAUUUUAAUGCAAACACCACAACCGCCAAUUCAAAUCUGUAUAGAGUAUUCCUUUUCUGUGGCCUUCAACUAUCUUUGACACUACGCAACACCUGCUCUUACUGCAUCAACCAAUCCUAAUCCCUGAUGUGAAGUCUUACUAUACACCACAAGUCUCCUUUUCCAAAUGAAUAGUCAUACUAGUGUUGUAGUCACUUCGUCUCAACUCCUGAAACUAUUUUUCAUAAUCAUCUGUCCCCUCAACUUGAUAUCCUUGCAAUUCAAUCACGUUAAAGUAACUGCAAUAGAAAGAAAAACCCUAAUAAUCUAGAUAAUAACUGCAAACCCAAAAAACUUCUGAUUUUUGACACAUUCUUCGGCUGCUCCAAAUUCAUUACUGCUUCUAUCUUCUUUGGAUCCAUAUGGAUUCCCUCUGCAGAUAUAACAUGCCCCAAGAAUGCCACUUUAUCCAGCCAAAAUUCACAUUUACUGAACUUAGCAUACAAUUGCUUAUCACGCAAAGUCUGUAGCACAAGUCUUAAAUAUUUUUCAUGCUCUUCCUGAUUACUAGAAUAAACCAAUAUAUCAUCGAUAAACACAAUGACAAAAGAAUCAAGGAAAGGUAUGAAUACCCUGUUUAUCAAAUCUAUAAAAAUAGCUGGUGCAUUCGUAUUCCAAAAGCUCACCAAAAGUCAUAGUGUCCAUACCGAGUACGAAAUGCAGUCUUCGAACUAUCAUUGGUCCUUCACUGUCACCGAGUAUAUCCAACUCUCAAAUUCAAUCUUGGAAAAAGACACAGCACCCUGUAAUUUAUCAACAAAUCAGCUAAUCCGAGGUAAAAGGCUACUUGUUCUUCACCGUGACUUGUUCAGCUUCUAUAAGCUGUACAUAAAUCGCUUAUACCAUCCUUCUUCUUCACACACAUAACUGGUGCCCCCAAGGUGAACACACUUGGCUAAAUCAACCCUUUCUCAAGCAUUCUUUGAAAUUUGCCCUUCAUUCUGGCAAUUCCAUGUGGUGCCAUUCUAUAUGGACAUAGAAAUAAGUAUAGUUUAUGGCAAUACUCAAUAGAAAACUCUACUUCCCUAUCUAGUUUAGCUCCUGAAAGCUCAUUUGAAGCAAUCUGGACAUCUCUAACACUAAUCUAUCCAGAUAACUUCAAUCUACCUGUUGUAUCAACAAUGUGUGCUAGAUAUCCUUCACUCCUUCUGGCAAUAACUUUCUUGAUUUCACAUCCGACAAUCAAACAAGUUGGGAUGACAUCCUUUUCACCUGGAAAUGUACAUCCCACUCAUUUGACAUGUUAAACAUAACUCUUCGUGAACAAUCAAUAGAAAGCUUUGAUAUCACCUAACCAAUUCUUUCCCAAAAUCAGAUCAAAGUCAUGAAUACUCAAUGGCAUCAAAUCAACUAGUAACUCCUUCUCACCAAUUUUCCUUCCAUACCUCUUCCACUACUACCAUAUCUCCCACUGGGGUAGACACAAGUAAGGGUUGGGGUAGUAAACUACAUGAUCUAUCUAAAUGCAUACAAAAUGCAGUGGCAACAAAAGAAUGAGUUGUACAUGGAUCUAUCAAUACAUAUGCUCUUUCAUUAUUAACUGAUAACAUACCUGUCACUACAUUAAGAGUGGCUUGACUAUCCCUCUGUGUCAUGGCAUAAACUCGAGCUUGAGCACGUAGUUCUGGAGUCAUUGUCUGCCCUUAUUCUGCAUUUCUAGCUGCUCCCCUACCUCUACCAACUGCACUGCCUAUUGAAGAAGUUGUAGUAGGCCAUUGAGUACAAUGUUUUGCUAUAUGUCUAGUGUCUACACCAUAACAUUUGUCGGCCCUGGUAGUGUAUAUCACAGAACCAUAUUCCUUCAAUUCCACACCGAUACGACUAAUUCCUCCCUUAGUACUAACCAAUCUGCAGUAAUAGGUCUAGCUGGUAGUUUCCACAUCCUCUUCCCUAGAAUUUCUCCUACCUCUAGAAUUACUAGGCUUGCACUCCCGCACUGUCUAGCUUGACUUUGGCUCUAUAUUUUGUUACAUCUAAUACCUUGCCUUGACGGUCCAGCCCCUAAAUCAAAUCUCCUCUUCUUGAAUUGUUUCUCGUCUACUUGGAAAUUCCUUCACAUCUCGUUCUACAAUUUUAGACUUGUUCAACCAUUCUGCAUAUUAUUAACUCAAUAUAACACACGACAUUGGAUCUUCAGUCUAGCCCUGCCAAAUCGCCUACAAAUUUACUCUUUUAGCACUACCAACUCAGGCACAAUUGAUACAAAGCUAUAAAUUUUUGCUUUUUAUUAUUCACCACAGACAUCGUCCUUAAUUUUAAUGACAUAAACUCUUAUUCUUUUAUGAAUAUGAUAGAUGCGCGGAAAGUAUUGGUCUUAAAAUUGUUCACAAAUAGUUGCCUGUAUUGGGUACUCCUUCAAGUUGGGUAUCCUGCAUUCUUCUCGUAGGAUUCCACCAUUCCUCGCUCUCCCAUUCAAUCCAUGAAUGUGGCCAAAGUUAAUUUUCUCUGUUCUUCAUCACCUCAUCACUUCAAAAAUUGCACAACUUCUUCAACCACUCCUCCGUCACUAAUGGAUUAGUCACCCCUCAUACAAAUUCAGGUGGAUUUAACUUUAUAACUGUUCAGGCAAAGUUGACCUCUUGUCGGCCCUUGCUCUGAAACUCCAUAUAACUGUUCCAUCAAAGUGCUACUAUGUGGUGUUGUAUGGUUGAGGUUUGCACCUUGUGGUUCAUGUCCCCUUUCUUCUACUCUUUUAAUUGAAUUUGAUGACUCUUCAUUUGCCAUUCUGUCUUUUUGCAUCAAAUUAGUUUUAGCACAUCCAAUAUAUAAUAGUCCACAUUGUUAACAACUCAACUAACUCUGACAACGCCCAACAACCCCCUAUGGUUCACUGUGAUCCUAGACACAAACUCCAAAAUGUAGCCUCAGUGAUAUACUUUGGCUUUAAACCACAGCUCUGAUACCAAGCUAUCGCACCCCAAGCCUAAUUAUACAUAAUUAAUGUUAAUUAAGUGGGAUGUGAUCGCACAGGACAUCAAGCCUACGAACGACUCCUGUUAUUCAACACAUAGUCACUUGCAUAACGCUAACAUUAAUCAUACUCUGAAAAUUUUAAAACCAAACGAAAACUAUAUAUACACUUAUUCAUUACUAAUAUCAACCACCACCAUAAGAUAAAUAUUUAUACAUGUCCUAAGCAGAAUAUAAAUAAGCUCUCUAUGAGAACAAGAACUGUCCCAAGUUAUGCCAAUGACAACCAACCAUGUCCAGGAAAAUCUCCAUGUCUAGGAUCAUGACUACAGUGAACCAGUCAGUUAUCCAUAUCUCCUCACCGUCAAAAGGUUUUAUGUGGGUGUGAGCUAUAAUCACGUGCAUUAACAACAGAUAAUCUAACUCAUUAAAAUAAUAAGGAACAUUAUACAUCAUAAAUACCAGCAAUUAGAAUACCAUUCAAAAAUAAUGUUAUUCCCAUUGUAUCACACACACGUGCGCGUAAUUUUAGAUAAUGUUGGGCCCAAUAUUUGGAUGGGCUCGUUAUCAAGGAUGUUCCCACAUUAACACCCUAUAAGAUCAACCCCCACUCAGUUAUCUUUAGGUUAGCUCACAUAGGCCAUACCCCCCCCCCUUCUCCAGUGCACUGCAAAGCAUACAACAUGUAAUGCCACCUCAUUUAUAUCAUCAUCAACAUAUAUCAAUUCACCUCACUGUAUAUAUUAACAUCCACAUUUUAUCAAAGUAAUUAAUUCAAUAUGAAUAAGACUAUCUGUAUUUAAUCCCACCUAUAACUGCACACACACCGCAAUUAAAUCACGCCUGAGGUUGCCUUAAAGGCCCUUCUCUUU
rnacentral:lncRNA from 1 species